GUCGAGGGGUAGAGCACUUCGGUGCUUGAGACCGGCGCACGGGUGCGUAACGCGUAUGCAAUCUGCCUUUCACAGAGGGAUAGCCCAGAGAAAUUUGGAUUAAUACCUCAUAGCAUUACGACUCGGCAUCGAGAUGUAAUUAAAGUCACAACGGUGAAAGAUGAGCAUGCGUCCCAUUAGCUAGUUGGUAAGGUAACGGCUUACCAAGGCAACGAUGGGUAGGGGUCCUGAGAGGGAGAUCCCCCACACUGGUACUGAGACACGGACCAGACUCCUACGGGAGGCAGCAGUGAGGAAUAUUGGUCAAUGGGCGCAAGCCUGAACCAGCCAUGCCGCGUGCAGGAUGACGGUCCUAUGGAUUGUAAACUGCUUUUGUACGGGAAGAAACACUCCUUCGUGAAGGAGCUUGACGGUACCGUAAGAAUAAGGAUCGGCUAACUCCGUGCCAGCAGCCGCGGUAAUACGGAGGAUCCAAGCGUUAUCCGGAAUCAUUGGGUUUAAAGGGUCCGUAGGCGGUCCGGUAAGUCAGUGGUGAAAGCCCAUCGCUCAACGGUGGAACGGCCAUUGAUACUGCUGGACUUGAAUUACUGGGAAGCAACUAGAAUAUGUAGUGUAGCGGUGAAAUGCUUAGAGAUUACAUGGAAUACCAAUUGCGAAGGCAGGUUGCUACCAGUGGAUUGACGCUGAUGGACGAAAGCGUGGGUAGCGAACAGGAUUAGAUACCCUGGUAGUCCACGCCGUAAACGAUGGAUACUAGCUGUUGGGCGCAAGUUCAGUGGCUAUGCGAAAGUGAUAAGUAUCCCACCUGGGGAGUACGUUCGCAAGAAUGAACUCAAAGGAAUUGACGGGG
rnacentral:rRNA from 1 species